GAAGUGUUUGAAGAGUGUAGGAGUGGCAGCGCGAGGGUGAAAGAGACGCACAAGUGGAUCCUAAAGUCCUUCCCGGAGGAGAGGGGCUGCCCGGAGGGAAGGGACGGAGUGCGCGGAGUCAGCGCGGGCGGCUGCCACUGUCGCUGCCACUCCCGGGGCCGGAGGGACGUGGUCAGGCUGCCAGGGCGUGAUGGGGCCGCGGCCAGAGCCUCGCUGACUACCGGUGGCGGGAGGAAGGGACCCGGAACAGCCCACGGGGGGGAUGCCAAGAGGCAGGCCGUUUCCUGCACCCAGCACCUAAGCAGCUGGGGUCCGUGCACCCCGCGGGGACGGCUCUGGCUCGGAGCGUGGCCCAUGUCCUGCGCGGGUGAAGCCCUCGCUCCCGGGCCCGCGGAGCAGCAGUGCCCGGUCGAGGCGGGCGGCGGCCGGCUGGGCUCCCCGGCCCACGAAGCAUGUAAUGAGGACAAUACGGAGAAAGAUAAAAGGCCAGCUACCAGUGGCCAUACCAGGUGUGGGCUGAUGCGGGACCAGUCCAUUUGGCCAAAACAAGGAUGAGCAAUGGGAAUGGAAUUCCUCACGGAGCCAAACAUGUGUCCGUGGAGAAUCACAAGAUAUCAGCCCCCGUUUCUCAGAAGAUGCACAGAAAAAUCCAGUCCAGCUUGUCUGUAAACAAUGACAUCAGUAAGAAGAGUAAAGUAAAUGCUGUCUUUUCCCCAAAAGCAGCCUCCUCACCCGAAGACUGCUGUGUCCACUGUAUCCUGGCAUGCUUGUUCUGUGAAUUCCUGACCCUCUGCAACAUUGUCCUGGGACAAGCUUCGUGUGGCAUCUGCACCUCCGAAGCCUGCUGCUGUUGCUGUGGCGAUGAGAUGGGUGAUGACUGUAGCUGCCCCUGUGACAUGGACUGCGGCAUCAUGGAUGCCUGUUGUGAAUCGUCAGACUGUCUAGAAAUCUGCAUGGAAUGCUGUGGCAUCUGUUUUCCUUCAUAAAAGAUUUAUCUCUUGUUUUUACUAAAACUGGAGACAACUUUACAAUAUUUCUUGUAGGGGAAAGAAAGGCGCAUGGUAAGACUCCCAUGAAACAACUCAGUAUUUGCACUGUUUUUUGUAGACCCAUUCCUUCUAAGUAAGCUCUGAAAUUCUUCCUUUCGCCGGAUGUAUGUGGUUUAAUAUGUGAAGUUUUGACUGUCUAAUUGGUUUUUUGAAACUUCUUCAUAGAUGACAAUAAUUGGAAGACAUUUUGACACACACAGCCUAAAAUGUUAAAUGUCUUCUUUCUCUUGACAUGUCUGUUUUCGCUAACCAUUCUGAGCAGCUCUUUGCUCUAAACACAACAUUGCUCAGUAUGUAUUUAAGCCAGAUCACUUUGAUGUUUAUCUAUUGGAGGUUAAAAGCAAACUUUUUUUUAAUUCUAAGUAAGCACAAACAUUGGGCAGAGCCGUAAACAGAUGUGGGACUCUCCGUGUUGGUCUCCUCUGGGCUUUUCAGCUCUCUUGUUCUGCCAGAGUGCUCUGAAGAAGAUCACAUUGCUCUCAUCCAGAGCGGCAGGAAGUGUAAUGGAAGCAAGCAGGAUGGGAGCUGUAAAGGAUGAACCAGGUUUCAAAGCAUGCUGGCUUCAAGACUGUAAAGGCAAGAGGCCAUAGGAACAUACAGAAGUGAAUAACAGGUUACAGAAGAAGGCCUGGAGGAAGAUAUGGCACUGUGGAUGCUCUAGGACCAGCUACUUGAAUUUAAGGAAAUGUUGAAGGUACACAGCCUAGACUGUCAGUGCUUUGGACAAGUGAAAAGGAUUUGCCUUGUAUAUCGCAGCAACACAGCUUUCUUAGAACUGUAAAAUCUCAACUAAUGCAAAUACGCACUUUCCUACAUGUAAUUUAAGUGUUAUAAAUUUUAAUGAAAACAUAAUACCUUGUUAACAUAACUAUAUUUUACCAAAAAAUGUAGAACACUUUUUAACAACGUUCAUUU
rnacentral:lncRNA from 1 species